CCCUCUUUUUGCUUGAAGGUUCCUUUCUAUCCCAUCUCUCAUAUUUUCAACAAUUGGUCAUUUUCAAGGAACAGAGGUCACUGUUCAUAAGUCACUGACUUGUCCAUGACGGGGGAAGGAAGGGACUAGACCCUGACUCACUUGCCUAGGAUCUUCAUUCCCCAUUCUCGUCGUGGUUGCCUUGUCUGGCGUUUGAAAUUGGGACAGUCCCUGCCUCCACCUCUGCUAGCCACCAGGAGCCCAGUGCUCCUCAGCCCUCUGACCUGGGCGUGAGAACAGUAUUUCUUCCCUUCUGGCAAACACGCAGAUGGCUGGAAGAAAGGUUUCUGAGGAAUCUUACAAAGGAGCUGAAGCACACAGAAUAUGGCCAAAAGCUGCAAACAAGAAUGAGAGAACCCAAGCUUCUAGAUGGUACUGGCUGCUCACUAGGAAGGCUCUCAUGUUGAGGCUGGGUGGGAGUUUGGCCGCCCUGUGGUUUCUUUAAUGUUGCCUCGCUUGCUUCUUGGCCUCGUCUCUAGGAAGGCCCUUGUAUGUUCUCUUAGGAAGAAGAUGUGGGGCUUCGCCGGGUUACUGAUAUCUUCCUCUCCUCUCAAGGUCCCAGGACAGGGGACAAAAAAGGCGCUCUCCUGGACCUCAGGAAGCCCACCCAGCACCUACGGCCUCUCCUUCACCCAUUCCUGGGAGCCUCUGUGAUUCCACAACCCUCCCAUCCUCUCACUGCCCAGCUGUGUUCUCUGGGCCCUGCUCAUUUUGCUUGGAACACAAAUGCAAGUCCUUCGGGCUGGCUCUCCCAGUGAGGCCUACCCAGGGCCGGCAGCCAUCUUUACCUCAGGACUUCACAGCGGCAUCAUGGCCCACACAGAAACAGACUGCUCUGUUCUGAACUGGCUGACAGCUGACUUGAGUCCCUGUUUGAGUUCCCCACUGAGUUCCUAGUUAUAGUCUUAGGAAUGCUUCCACCUCUUGGUUCUCUGGGGGAAAAGAGAUGUCAGAUGCCACUGAGGCUGGGGACACCCCAGCCCUCCAGAGGGAAAGUUAACUUUGUCUCUACACCUGUCUUGUUUGGGGUGGCUGCCACCCCCACCAAGAAUCAGGUCCCUGUCUCCAGCACAGAGAGAGAGAGAGAGAGACAUUAGUGACCAGAACAGACUGGGGCCUCCAGGCACGUUGGCUUCUUCUCAAGCACAGGCUGCAAAAGCUGUAGCACUUUCUAGUCCUUUGCGGUUUGCUUUCCAUUCUUCCUUGUCCCCUUUUCCUCCCUGCUUAGGAAGGUCAGGCCCUCCAAGCAGGAAGGCAGAAAAUCUCUAGUGCCUGUGUGACCUCAGGGUCCUAAGGAAAGUCUCCUUUGGGGCACUGGUUCAUUGCUCAAGCCUCCGUCUUAAAACCUGGGAGGUGGUUUGAUAAGCCAGCUCCUUGGCUUUUCCCUUGGGGCCCUUAGCCCGCUCUGGAGUCACCAUCUCCAUCUCCGUCGGCAUCUCAGCUCCGCGGUGUGACCGCUGACAGAUUUCUUAGUCUCUCCCAACCUGAAUUUCCUCCUCUGGUCAUAACCUGCCGUCAUGGAGUUCCGACCACACAAAGGAUAUGGUACCUGAUUCACAGUGGAUGCUCUGUACAUGUUACUUCCUUUCUUCGUCCCUUGCCCUGUCCCCUUUUCCGCACCCUCCAAACACAGAGGCAAGAAAGCAAGCUCUGUGUCUGCCAGAGAUCCGCACACCAGUUCAAACGGAGCGGCGGCAACCUCCGGUCCUCACCACCCGCCCCCAUCUCCAGCCCUCCGAGGGACAUCUGUAUUCUGAAAAUGGAUCCUCUCCACCGCUCGCCCCCCCAAGUCCACCCAGAGGACACAGUCCGUCCCGUCCGCUCCCGGCUGCAGCUGCUGUUCAUUGUUGCCGUUUCCUGGCUGGCUCCUGACCCCAUCCCAGGUCCUCUCCCCUCUCUCACUUUGCUGGGUGGAUAUGACACCUUCCCGAUGCAGUAUCAUCUGCAAAGUUAAUUAAUGUGUCAUUGGGCUGUUGCCUGCUUCCUGAUCCUUAUCAGGGAUUUCAAUAAAACGCAGCAGCCCCAGUUCCUCCCCGUCUGUCCCUCUCCCUGGAUCUGAGGCUUGUUCUUAGUCAUCCAUCCUUGACCUCUGCCUUCUGGCCAGUUCUCAGCUUCCAGCCUCAGGGCUGAUGGAACUGUCCCGGCCCAAGCCUAGUCUGGGAGCAGAAGCACCAUCCAGGGCUGUCCUGGCCAUGGUGAUCUAGGAGAGAAUCGUGGAUAGCCCGAGCCCUUAGCUCAUCCCAUCGCCUUGAGAGGUUCCCCUGCAUUUGAGGUGCCAUAAGUGACCCUAACUGUCCAACACACUCUUUUCUAGGGUAAAAAAAAAAAAAAAAAAAAAAAAAAAAAAGAGGCUCCCAGAGGUUCCGUGACUUUUCCAAGAUCACAUCCAAUAAAGGAAGAGCUAGGACUUCAGAUCCAGACUCUCAGUGGAGGGCCCCGUGGAAAGUGCUGGUUACUUCAUUUCCUCAGUACUAUGUGCUGAGGGACACAGCAUCCUUCCAUUCAUAAAGCUUCCCUUGUCCAGGGCAGAAGCAGGUAACAAAUACAUAUGUUGGAUUGUGAUAUGUGUUACAGAAAAAUACAGCAGGGUGACUGGAAUGAGAAGUGCUGGGUGGGCAUUACAAUCACGUGGGGGGGUAGCAUAGGGAGCAGUCCCAUGGCCUCACUGGAGAGGGGCCUUCGUACAGACGCAGGAAGUGCUGGAGGCAGUCCUGUGGACAUCUGGGCAAGAAGGAACAGCAAGUUUAAGGCCCUGCUGGUGGCCUUCUGGAACUAUUCAAGAAGCCACAUGAAGCCAGAGUGGCCAGGGACAAGCUCGGAAGGGGACCAGGAAGAAGGGGAGAGAGCUGGACUCAUGCUGGGCUGCUAGUCCAUCUCCCUCUUCCCAGUCUGCCUCUCUUCUCUGCCCCCAAUGAUUCCCCUUCCCCACUUGGCUUCCUAACCACCCCCCUGCCCAGCUGCAGUCUUCAUAACCUUGUUCUUAUGUCUUCUCAGAGGCCACUGAUGAUUCCUAAAUCCCAACUUGGCCAAGGACAGAAAGAACUGCCUCCUUCAAGAACCACAGCCCAAGAACCCUUUCCCUUCCUGUGGACACUUGCCUUGGUGCCAAAUCCCUCAUAAGAUGAAUGACUCUUCCUAAUGCCCUACUGUCUUACAAUGGGAAUCUCCCUUGGCGUCCUGUCGCAGAAAUUGCUCCUUGCAAGCCAGCUUCCUCCUUCAACUGUGGCCGGAUUGGCCAUGUUUCCUGCCUUGGCAAAGAGCUGGUGGGUGGCCAGGUUCCUCCAAUACAGUUAUAUUCUCACACGGACCCCGAGCCCUGAAUGUGCCCGAUGGGACAUUCCUGAAAUCACUUGAUCUACUAUAGCCCUCGCUGUGAGCUCGGUGCCCCAGGAUUGUUGCAAAUGUUGGUGCUGUGGCAUUAUCUCUAUAGAUUUCUCUAAGCAAUUGCAUCUGGAAAAGAGAAAUUUCUUCCCUCUGCCUUUCUUUGGCCUCCAAUGUCACGUCUUUCCAAAAGCCUCCCCUUCCCCCGCUUCCCCCCAUCUCUGUCUUUCCCUGGCAACUUGACAUCAUCAUGAGAGCUUCUUCCCAUUUCAUUCAUUCAUCCAUUAAUUCAGCAAACCUGUACAAAGUCAGGUAUAGUGCCUGUCUGGGGGGGCACAGGGAGUGGCUGGUGGUACAAAGAGGAACACCACCAGAAUACCAUUCCUGCCCUGGAGGGUCUUCCAUUCUGUUGGGGGAGAGGCAGACCCAUAAACGGGUGAUUUCAACAUACUGGGCCCGGUGUCAUGAAAUGGUGGUCCCUGAUAGAAAAAUACCUAAAUCAGAGUCCGGUGGGAGGUGGGGGAGUCAAGGGUCAAGGGGAGGGAAACUUCCUGGAGGAUCUCAGAAAGUCCUCUUCCAUGUCUCUCCAUAAUAAUGAAACCAAGGUACUGAGAACUCACUACAUGCCAAGUGCUAAGCUAAGGUCUCUGUGUAAAUGAUCCCAUGGGACUCUAGGUAGAGGGGAUCCACCCAGGGUGCCAUCUGGAGCCCCUUGGGGCUGCUCGCUCUCUUGUCCUUCUCCUCAAGGUGGAAAAGAAAGUCCCCAGUGGCCCCUGGGCCCCAGGAAACAACACAGCAGCUUGGCAUCUCUGAAGCACACCCAGCUGGCUUGGUGGAGGUUGUCCAACCCAGAUGACACUUCUCUGUGCUGCAUUCUGGUUGCUUUUUCUUGCUACAGGGCAGACUUCUCCAGGGUGGAGGAGGGGUUCUGUCAGGGGAUCCAUCUUCGGAUUCUCCUUGGUCCUCACGGAGCAUCCCUCAGGCUGGCCUCCCUGCCUGUUUCUCAGUCCAGGCCCUGAGAUGGUGAGCUGGAAGGGAAAGCCUCCCCAUCUCCUCUUCUCCUGGGGCACUUGGAGUUCUGCUUCCACAAUUCCAAACAGAGACCAGCAUCACCCUUCCUCCCCUCUACCUACCCACCUACUUUUCCUUUUCUCCUGGUUGAAGAGCUCAGGCCUCUUGACCAAAAAGGCCCAAGCUGUAUCUUUGGCCCCAGUCUUGCUCUUCUCUCUGUGUCAGACCAGACCAGACCAAAUGAUGUGAGACAGACCCAGUACACCUCAUACCUUGGCCAAGCGGUAGGGGGCAUGAACCCUUCGGUAUCACCCAUCGGUAGGGGGUACGAACCCCUGCUCCACAGGGCUUUUGAGAGGUCCACUGCAAUGCAAAAUUGUGAAGGAGAGCCACCCUGUCCCAGGAGCCUGAAGAGGACUGUUGGGGAACACUAUCCUCCUUCUACAAGUAGAUAUCCCAGGCAGAUGUUCUAGGCAGAGCUGGGAGCCGGGUCUGAACUCAUGUGACCCUUCUUAGUAGGUCAGAUGGGAAAACCACACAGGAUCCAGAUGGUUCAGAGGUGAACCGUCCGGGAAUGACCCCUGCUUCCCCUUCUGGGCCUAAGGGUGCUGAAAUCUACAACCGGUGAGGACAUAUAUAUCAUCAAACAUGUACAUGUCUGGGCUACCUAGACAGCAUUCCUGUACCACCCCAGGAGUUAGAAGCCCUGGCUCCUGACCUUGACUUUGACAUGAGGACAAAGCUGUAUGCUGUUUGCAAAGCCAUAGCCCCUCUGUGUCUUAAAGUCCCCAUCAAGAAAGUGGGCAGUGCUACUAGUGGAUCCACACUUGAAGCUUGGGUGUGAAAGGGUCCCAGUAUCACCACCCUGUGCACCAAAGCCCCACCCCUCCCUCUCUGAGCCAGGGGCUGACCAGGGGCCCAGCAGGGGCAGGAAGUGGAAAAGGCCUGUGCUUUCGUCCUCCUGGGCCCAAAUCUGAUCCUCCUUGCUGAUGCUCAGAAGGGCUGGCCUUUUCCCACCCGUCUUGACUCCCUGGGGCCUCUGAUUCUCUGGCCCAAGCCAAAUGUGUAUAAGAAGAUAGGUCAAGAGGUCCCCCAGUUUGGGGUCUCGGCAGUGGCCUGUGGUGCAUGGAUCAGCCCCAGGCUCAUGGAAUAAAAGGCACCAGGGGGUGGCUGGCUCCUGAGCAGAGCCACUGUCCUAGGACUGGGGGGAGGAGAAGGGAGCCGCAUGGAGGGCUCAGAGCUUUGCCUUUGGGCCUCUGCUCUGAGAAUUCCUACUACUAGGAAUCCUCUGGGGAUAUGAGCCUCAAAGAGCCUCUGCCUCCCUACAGGAGCAUGAUCUCAGGAGAGGCCACCCAAGAGGUCCUGGAGCUUCUUUCCUUCUCCCCAUCCCCAAAGACCAAGUGCGCUUCUCCCCAUCCUCUUCCCAAACAGGCUGCCUGGAACCAUCAGCCCCUCCCUGCCGGCCUGCCUUUUCUCCCUUAUCUGGAGCAUCACCCAUUUCUUCCAUCCCUCCCCGCACUGGAGUGUCUGCUGGGUUACCCAACCAACCACCCCUAGGUCAAGCUUGUGUCGGAUGGGUUGAGUCAUUACCUCCAUCUCCUCCCCAACCCUCCCAGGUCCCAGGGCUUGGUCUGGUUUAGCAAGCUGGGAGGGAAGGCUCCUUCCCUUCCAUGUGGGUAGACUCCAAGGCCCCACAGGCCUCUUGGGACAGGGAUUUUCCUGCUAUUUGGCUGGACUUUGUCUUCCCUAGAACAGUGCCUCAUGGGCACUCCUCUCUCCCCAGCAUUAUAGACCCCCCCAUUACCAACUAGACCACCCAACAGAGGGCCUAAGUUUGUUUCCUGCCCAUCUCUCCACUCCAACCCCCUCUCUGGCUAGUCAUGGAAACUUGGACACAGGAGCUAACAUCUCUAGGCCUCAGCAGAUGCUUCUAUAAGACAGAGGAGGAAAAGCCACCAGAGCCCCCCGCCCAGGCAGCCCCUCCCCAGCAACGGGUGAAGGGACCAGAAGAAAGAAGCACUGUCGGUUCUUUUCCCUGAGACUCCAGGAUUUUGCACCAAAAUGCAGGAGUUGCUGGGAGAGGUGGUUUGGAGCCCCUGGCAGCCUCCUUCUCCGACCUGGGUCCCAAGAACUCACAGGUGGCUUUCAAGCAGGUGCCGACAGAGGGGCGCCCUCCUCCCCCUGCUGUGGGGAGAAGAGGAUCCCAGACACUGGGCACCGUGGAGCUCCAUGACCCCCUCAAUCAGAGACCUCUGGGAAACCAGGUUCCUGCCCUGUCUUGUCCCCAAGUUGGCAAGUCCUGGAAAAAGGCCUGCCCUGGUUUCCCCUCAGGGGAAGCUUCUGGGCGUGGGGGAGGGGCCUGCAGCUCAGCCCCCUCCCUUGGCUGACCACAGGGGAAGCCAUGAUGGUGGCACACUCUCAGGGCGAGGGGGUGGGGUGGGGUGGUCAACACAGGAGAAUCUGUCCAUAUAUAAGAAGCGACAUGGGGUGCACGCCAGGGGCUGUAUUUCUCUCUUUCCAUUUUGUUUCCAUCUAGUGCCGCCUCCUGGUCAGCCAUUCUAGGCCUUUGUGCCUGUCCUCCAAGAAGCAAGCCUCUAAAGAUGUCAGAUCCAGGCUGAGGUGGUGGAUCCGAGACACCCCCAAAGCAACCUGCCGCACCCUCCCCUCUAAGGGCCUUCGGGUCCAGCCCACUUCCAGUGACUUGCCUGAGAAACUGGGUUCUCACUACCUCCCCCAGCCCAUGCUGUGGAGGCUUCGGCUCCUCAGGUCUCAAACCCUCCCUAACGCCUCAGGCAGUGGCAAGAGCGGUUAGAAAUGACAGUCGGGUGAGAAGCCAGCGUUCCUCGCCCUGACGCCUUCCGCAAGGUACCCCAGUCCAAAGGCUUGGGGCUCCAGCUCCAGGAUCCCAGUCUCCCAAGCCCACAGCUCCCUGCCUUUGUGUCUGGUUGAAGACCACCCGACCGAGGGUCCCAGGGGUACAGGAAAUGACAAUGCCAUCCAAGGCAAGGGCUGCAUAAGGUUCAAAGAGGGGCUCCUCCCACAGGGCAUGAGAACCUUUCUACAUGCUGCUCCAUGCUCGCUGCCCAGAUUCGCCCUCGGAAAGCCGUGGGGGAGUGGUGUCUGCCCCAUCCACUGACCCCCUUCUCUGGGUUGGACUGCCAUGGUAGAGACCUCAUCCCUUUCUUUGAGGAUCCUUGACUGCCCCCAAAGACAAAACCGUGACAUGAUGCCGUCCUGAUCCCCCACAGACCUUCCAAACACAUCACCCCCCCCACCCCUUUGGUCCUGCCCCGUCGUCUCCAGCGGGAUGGGACGGGACGCUUCUCCUCCCCCACUCCCUGUGCUGGGCUGAGCUGCUGGGCUAUUUGGGGCUUCAGCUGGCCAGCAGUGUAAUCAGUGCCUCGGGAUAAUUGCCACCUGCCCCGCCGGUGUCUAGGGGCUGUCUCGGCCACAGCGGCAGGGGGCGGACACUGGGCAGCCAGGCCCACAGCGAGGUCAGGCUAGGGCAGUCCUCCCCACGCCCUAGAUCUGCUCUCCCCAUGUGUGUGUGGGACCUGUGAGGAUUCCCUAGGAAAGCCAUGCCCUCCUGGGGGCUGCGCUCAUCUGGGGUACCCUGUGGCUUCAGUGGAGAGUGGAGGGCUAUCCCAGCCAAGGAACAAAAGUCCUGAGGCAUGCACAAUCAGCUCAAAGCCUGUCUUCCCAGUCCUGCCACUGAAAUCAGUGGGUACCCCUUCUGUCUGCAAGCUGGCCUCUGGGCAGCACCACAGCUAAGUCACGGGCUCUGUCGCAAGAAUGACUUCUGUUGGACCAUCCCAGGCUCUCCUGCAGCCAAGCCCACCAAGCCUCCUUGUCCUCCUUUGGAGAGGUGGCAAGGGUUAAUGAGAUAGCACAUGAGUGAGAUCUCACAAAAACUAGCUCCCUCCCCUUUGGCUACUUUCUUUUCUACUCCAAGGUGGCUUAGACCUGGUUUAAACACCUGUCAUUGACACUUGGCCAACUCUAUGACGCUUGGGCAAUUGGUUCAGCCUUGGUUUCCUCAUUUAUAAAAAGGGUCCUCAGAGAAGCUGCCCUAUCAAGUUACUGUGAAGAACACAUGGUCUUGGGGUGCCUGGUGGACUGAAUUGGUAGAGCGUAUGUCUCUUUCCACCUCAGGGUUGUGAGUUUGAGCCCCAUGUUGGGUGUAGAGAUCACUUAAAAAUAAAAUCUUUUUUUUUUUUUUUAAAGAGAAUACAUGAUUGAAUGCAUGUCAGAUGCUUUGCCGAGCACCAGGAGUACUCAGCACUGAUGGAGGUUAUCACGGACAACUGCAAAGACCAAAGAAUGGGCAUGAGAAGCUUCAGAAAGCCAACCAUGCCACACUCAGAAGAGCAAAGGCUGAAGAGACACGCCAGGGCUGAUUGGAACAACUGCACGGCAACCCCAGUGCCUGGACAUCCUCUGUGGCAGCUAGAGCCCCGAAGCGAAGGGGUGCUUCUCUCGGGAUUUCUCCCUCUUGCAACCCUGUUUGCUCUAAGGUGGUGUCACAUAAGCUCCUCAUAGUCAGAGAACACUAGACACUUGUGGGUAUUUUCUUUUUUAAAAAGAAUCAGAAGCAGCAACAUCUAGAUGAAGUAGCUUUGAUCUUGGGAA